AGAGUUUGAUCCUGGCUCAGAGUGAACGCUGGCGGCGUGCUUAACACAUGCAAGUCGAACGCGAAAGGGUAGCAAUACCCGAGUAGAGUGGCGAACGGGUGAGUAAUAUGUGAGUAAUCUGCCUUGGAGAGUGGGAUAACCUGGCGAAAGCCGAGCUAAUACCGCAUGAGGUUUGAUUGUUUUCGGACGAACAAACGAAAGGCCUCUAUUUAUAAGCUAUCGCUUCGAGAGGAGCUCACAGCCUAUCAGCUUGUUGGUGAGGUAAAGGCUCACCAAGGCGACGACGGGUAGCCGGCCUGAGAGGGUGUCCGGCCACACUGGAACUGAGAUACGGUCCAGACUCCUACGGGAGGCAGCAGUGGGGAAUUUUUCGCAAUGGGCGCAAGCCUGACGAAGCAACGCCGCGUGGAGGAUGAAGGCCCUAGCGGUUGUAAACUCCUGUCUAGCGGGACGAAGGUACAGGUUGCGAAUAGUGAUCUGUAUUGACUGUACCGCUGGAGGAAGCUCCGGCUAACUCGUGCCAGCAGCCGCGGUAAUAC
rnacentral:rRNA from 1 species